rnacentral:misc_RNA from 1 species
AACACUGUUAACCUGCGGUACCUGCGGAGGGAUCAUUACAAGUGACCCCGGUUUACCACCGGGAUGUUCAUAACCCUUUGUUGUCCGACUCUGUUGCCUCCGGGGCGACCCUGCCUUCGGGCGGGGGCUCCGGGUGGACACUUCAAACUCUUGCGUAACUUUGCAGUCUGAGUAAACUUAAUUAAUAAAUUAAAACUUUCAACAAUGGAUCU